rnacentral:rRNA from 1 species
AGAUCGGUAGCCGGCCUGAGAGGGCACACGGCCACACUGGCACUGAAACACGGGCCAGACUCCUACGGGAGGCAGCAGUGGGGAAUCUUGCACAAUGGGGGAAACCCUGAUGCAGCGACGCCGCGUGAGCGAUGAAGCCCUUCGGGGUGUAAAGCUCUUUCGGCAGGGACGAUCAUGACGGUACCUGCAGAGGCAGCUGCGGCUAACUACGUGCCAGUAGCCGCGGUAAUACGUAGGCAGCAAGCGUUGUUCGGAGUUACUGGGCGUAAAGGGUGUGUAGGCGGCCUUCUAAGUUUGGUGUGAAAUCUCCCGGCUCAACUGGGAGGGUGCGCCGAAUACUGAAAGGCUAGAGUGCGGGAGAGGAGAGUGGAAUUCCUGGUGUAGCGGUGAAAUGCGUAGAUAUCAGGAGGAACACCGGCGGUGUAGACGGCUCUCUGGACCGUAACUGACGCUGAGACACGAAAGCGUGGGUAGCAAACAGGAUUAGAUACCCUGGUAGUCCACGCCCUAAACGAUGCACAUUUGGUGUGGGUCAUUCAGUUGAUCCGUGCCGGAGCUAACGCGUUAAAUGUGCCGCCUGGGGAGUACAGUCGCAAGGC